AACCAUAGAAACCUGCGGAGUACCUGCGGAGGGAUCAUCGCUGGAUCUCGGAUCUAUUAUGCGUGUGAACUGUAUGUGUGGGGGAGGGUUGGCAGGGGGGAGUGGGGCGCGUUAGCGCCUCUGUCUCCGUGUGGGGCACCCGUAAGGGUGCUGUGUGGGGGUCCUCCACUCCCGUGUGGUGUGUGGGGCCACUCGCUUGCCACACCUGCCACCCGCUCCGGCAUUUGUGCAAAUCGCUAG
rnacentral:misc_RNA from 1 species